GGCGGCAUGCUUUAGACAUGCAAGUCUAACGGCAACACGGGAGCAAUCCUGGUGGCGACUGGCGAACGGGUGAGUAAUAUAUCGGAACGUGCCCAGUCGUGGGGGAUAACGUAUCCAAAGCUACGCUAAUACCGCAUACGAUCUAUGGAUGAAAGCGGGGGAUCGCAAUACCUCGCGCGAUUGGAGCGGCUCGAUUUCAUAUUAUGUACUUGGUGACGUAAAUGGCUCACCAAGCCCGACUAUCUGUCCCCUGGCUCCUGAUAACGAACGACCAGCCACUUUGGGUACUGCACACACCUGCCCAUCACUCCUACGGGGUGCAAGCCUGAUCCAGCAAUGCCGCGU
rnacentral:rRNA from 1 species